GUAAUUUCAUAGCACUAUUGGCCAUACUGAUGAAUAUUUCGUUGACAAAAUAUUGGUCAUGGUGAACUAUGGAUUGAUUGUGAAAGUACCUACAUAUUAUUUAGGGAGGGAAAAAAAUGGGAAUGAUAAAAAAUAAAAAAUAAAAAGAAAGUUGGUAGCUUCAAGCCACAAUACAUGGGAUGAGAUGAAGAUGUUACGUGUGAGACUCCAUUGCCUUUGAUUACG
rnacentral:misc_RNA from 1 species